rnacentral:rRNA from 1 species
GAUCAUGGCUCAGGAUGAACGCUAGCUACAGGCUUAACACAUGCAAGUCGGAGGGGCAGCAUGAACUUAGCUUGCUAAGUUUGAUGGCGACCGGCGCACGGGUGAGUAACACGUAUCCAACCUGCCGAUGACUCGGGGAUAGCCUUUCGAAAGAAAGAUUAAUACCCGAUGGCAUAGUUCUUCCGCAUGGUAGAACUAUUAAAGAAUUUCGGUCAUCGAUGGGGAUGCGUUCCUAG